GUAAAAUAUACAGUGGAUUUGCACUGUUAUUAUUACAUUUAAUAAUACAAUAAUAAUGACAUUAAAUCAUCAAAUGACAGCAGGCAUGUCUCUCCCUUUCUCAUUUAUAUCUAUUUCCUCAAUUUUUCUUCAAUGAGCAGAAUCCAUCCUUUUCUAAACAGCCUGCAGCAGAAAUGAACAUCCUCAUGCAGCAAAAAUAGAUUGCAACCUGCCUGAGAGAAGUUCAGGUGACUGUGAGUGAAUGGAUACUGAAGUGUGCUCAGCGUGGUGUCACAGCGGGAGAGCAGAACGAGCUUUAAAGGUGGCGUUCAACAAGUUCAUGGUCCUCCUCAAUCUGUGGAGACAGGUGUUGUAUGUCUUGUGGUUCUGGAGGGAAUUUCAACUUUCCAACUUUUGCAGAAAUCAAGUUUAUUAUGGGAAUUGUCCAGCAUGUACAUCUCAACAUCUUCUGUUUUUCAUAAUGCACUCUUUUCUCAUAUGUAAGACACACAGACCCAUAGUAGGCAAUAAAGUACACAGUACAUUCAUACAAGUAAGUAUAUGUAUAGUACAGCUAGCAAUCCAACUAUCGGUUGGAUUGCUAGCAAUCAAUCCACAACCUUGGAUUGCAAUCAAUCCACAAACUUGAUCACUUUUAUUGCUGUUUUUAUGCCGUUUUGCUUUAUUUUACACUUAUUAUCUUUGCACAACAACUACACAGCUAUGUUGCCUUUACCUUCUGUAAUUAUAUGUGUGUCUCAUGGGGAAGCUGCAUUGCAAGUGUAGCUUGUAAAACUACAUGUAGUUCAGCCUGACAGUAGUUUGAACAAACUACAUUUCUACCCCUGGAGAAAUGUAGUUUGUAAAAAUACAGCUUAAAAAAGUAGCUUUAGCAACUACGUAUAUGCAUUAUAAUCAUUUAACUCAGUGUUAAAUAAAUCAACAUAUGGUGUAAGUGAAACAAAACAUAAUAGUCUACAAAAAAUUCACAUGCCAGCUGAAAUAUGCAUCUCAACUCGAGAGGAAAAAGUCGAAAAUUAUUGUUGUUUUCGGUUUGCAGAAAUCACAUGUAAGUUGUGUCUGUAGAUGCAUCUAUAUCCAACAUGUACAAUGAAAACAAAAAAUUACCCAAAAAGUAGUUGAAAUACUUGAUGCAGCACAAAAUAUGAAUAUAGUUUAACUACCAGCAAGUUACAGUAAAUUGUAGUUAAGCUAUGUAGUUCAACUACAUGUAGUUUAAGUCUCCUCAACACUAUAUGUAUGUAUAAAUAGUAUAUAACAUGCAUUCUUGCUGUCCAUAUUUUUACUCUGUAUACUUUGUUUUUGUUUAUUCUUUAUUUAUUAUACAUUAUUCUCAUUCUUGUUGCU
rnacentral:lncRNA from 1 species